rnacentral:rRNA from 1 species
GACGAACGCUGGCGGCGUGCUUAACACAUGCAAGUCGAACGGAAAGGCCUCUUUCGGGGGGUACUCGAGUGGCGAACGGGUGAGUAACACGUGAGUAACCUGCCCUUGACUUUGGGAUAACUUCAGGAAACUGGGGCUAAUACCGGAUAGGAGCUCCUGCUGCAUGGUGGGGGUUGGAAAGUUUCGGCGGUUGGGGAUGGACUCGCGGCUUAUCAGCUUGUUGGUGGGGUAGUGGCUUACCAAGGCUUUGACGGGUAGCCGGCCUGAGAGGGUGACCGGCCACAUUGGGACUGAGAUACGGCCCAGACUCCUACGGGAGGCAGCAGUGGGGAAUAUUGCACAAUGGGUGGAAGCCGGAUGCAGCAACGCCGUGUGCGGGAGGACGGCCUUCGGGUUGGAAACCGCUUUCGCUCAUGACGAAGCUUUGUGUGACGGUAGUGGGUAAAGAAGCACCGGCUAACUACGUG